rnacentral:lncRNA from 1 species
ACACUCCUUACUUUGACUUUGUACCAAUGUCUAGCUUUUCCUGUUAAAGAGAACGGAAAGAGCUUCCAUUUAAGGGUCUCAUCGGACAUGCCUUCUAUGCGAAGGAGGUCACAGACUCGAUAAAACUCUCUUAGGUGUGUGUAUGGGUUUUCUUCACCUUCUCCUGAGAAAGGUUGUUUUUGAACAAAUUCUAUGUAUUCGGGGUCUAUCUCAAAACUAGAUGCUAUAAUAGGCUGUAGUGGUUCGAGAUGUGUGCCCGUAGGUCUAUGAAAUUCAUAGAUAGACAUGUUUGAAUUCAUGAUAGACCAGAGAUUAAGGAUUAGAUAAGAAGAAAGAAUAGUAGAGAUGAGGCAAAGGAUAAAAGGAAAAGAAUAUAUAUUUUUUUUAUUUUUUUAGAAAAUGAUUAAGCUAGUUGGUAGUCAACUCAGCAACCAUUUCCCCGGCAACGGUGCCAAAAAUGCUUGUUGACACUUGCUAACACCACUUGAAUACUAGGUUGUCAUCCCCAGCGUGGCACUAGAGUGUACUAUGGUAUUUCUACGCACACAGAUAAUCCGCAAGCGCACGGAUACCGUUAUAGCUUUUACUCGGUUAAAGGUUUUAUCGUAUCCAUAGGGAAACGGGAGAACUGAUCUACGCUCUAACUUAACCAAGAUAGAUAGAUAAGUGUAAAUAGGAAAGAUGGUAGAAUCGAAUAAGAACAAUAUUAAAGGUAAGAUAACAGUGGGUGAUAAUAUGGGAACAGAGAAUAGAGCAACCUAGUAUAUGGGCAAUGGUAGCAGAAUAGAGAGGAUAACUAUGGUUUCUCUACUUCAAAGGGGUAUG